rnacentral:miRNA from 1 species
GUCCUGAUUUCCACUGCAACUGGACUUUCAGAAAUUACCUUCUUAAGCAGUGCUGUAAGCUCAGCACUGUGGGAGGCUGAGGCAGGAGGAU